rnacentral:rRNA from 1 species
GGAAGGUGGGGAUGACGUCAAAUCAUCAUGCCCCUUAUGACCUGGGCUACACACGUGCUACAAUGGUUGGUACAACGAGUCGCAAGCCGGUGACGGCAAGCUAAUCUCUUAAAGCCAAUCUCAGUUCGGAUUGUAGGCUGCAACUCGCCUACAUGAAGUCGGAAUCGCUAGUAAUCGCGGAUCAGCACGCCGCGGUGAAUACGUUCCCGGGCC